rnacentral:lncRNA from 1 species
AAAGAAGAUACAUAGCUGAAAACACUUGAAGGUAUAGACUACCUUGAAAGUCACGCAAGAACUGUUCUUCCUGCUUUCCAUAUCCAAGAUGCAGAAGUCAAGGCACAGGGAUGUGAACAUACGUGGGUCAUGUUUCAUAGUACCUGGACCAAGAGAAGAGGUCUCUCUAUGUUGAGAAAAUGGCAAUGCCUUCCCACAGCAUGGUACUUCUUCUCCUUCUGAGAAUGAUACUGUUACAUAAAGGUUUUCGGCGGUGCCCCAGAACACGGAGAUUUCCUUCUGCCCAGCUGCAUGAGGCACACAUAUCCUGGGAUGGCAUUAGGAAGAUGGCCACUUUCACAUCAACUUAUGUACUCUGGCACCAACCUCUCUUCUCCCUACCCAGCCCAACUUCCCACCCACUGCUAUUGGGAUGAUAUGUGCUCUUGGGUAAGGAAUGCAUAUCCAAAUGCUACCUCAGAUCAGGGAGGUAAUACCUGGCCUCAAUUCUCUGCCCUUAAAGAAUCUUGCAGCCAAAUUGGGUAAAGAGUCAAGACCCAUCGGUGUGCUUUAUUCAGGAGACCCAUCUCACGUGCAAAGACACACAUGGGCCCAAAAUAAAGGGAUGGAGUAAUAUUUACCAAGGAAAUGGAAAGCACACACACACAAAAAAAAGCAGAGGUUGCAAUCCUAGCCUCUGAUAAAACAGACUUUAAACCAACAAAGAUCAAAAAAGACAAAGAAGGGCAUUACAUACUGGUAAAGGGAUCAAUGCAACAAGAAGAGCUAACUCUCCUAAAUAUAUAUGCACCCAAUACAGGAGCACCCACAUUCAUAAAGCAAGUUCUUAGAGACCUACAAAGAGACUUAGACUCCCACACAAUAAUAGUGGGAGACUUUUAACACCUCACUGUCAAUAUUAGGCAGAUCAACAAGACAGAAAAUUAACCAGGAUAUUCAGGAUGUGAACUAAGCUCUGGACCAAGAGGACCUAAUAGACAUCUGUGGAACUCUCCACCCCAAAUCAAUAGAAUGUACAUUCUUCUCAGCACCACAUCGCACUUAUUCUAAAAUUGACCACAUAAUUGGAAAUAAAACACUCCUCAGCAAAUGCAAAAGAAUGGAAAUCAUUACAGUCUCUCAGAUCACAGUGCAAUCAAGUUAGAACUCAGGAUUAAGAAACUCAGUCAGAACCGGACAACGACAUGGAAACUGACAACCUGCUCCUGAAUGACUACUGGGUAAAUAACAAAAUUAAGGAAGAAAUAAAUAAGUUCUUUGAAACCAAUGAGAACAAAGACACAAUGUACUAGAGUCUCUGGGACACAGCUAAAGCAGUGUUUAGAGGGAAAUUUAUAGCACCAAAUGCCCACAGGAGAAAGCAGGAAAGAUCUAAAAUCGACACCGUAAUAUCACAAUUAAAAGAACUAGAGAAGCAAGAGCAAACAAAUUCAAAAGCUAGCAGAAGGCAAGAAAUGACUAAGAUCAGAGCAGAACUGAAGGAGACAGAGACACAUGGACACAGGAGAAUGAGAACACAUGGACACAGGGAGGGUAACAUCACAAACUGGGGCCUGUCAGGGGUGGGGAGUGGUGGGGAGGGAUAGCAUUAGGAGAAAGAUCUAAUGUAGAUGAAAGUUUGAUGGGUGCAGCAAACCACCAUGGCAUGUGCAUACCUAUGUAACAAACCUGCACAUUCUGCACGUGUAUCCCAGAACUUAAAGUAUAAUAUAAUAAAAGAAUCUCAUAGCCAUCAUCUGUUGUAUACAACAGACCUCAAAUUAGUCUCCCUCUGCUUCUCCAACAGUGUGGCCUCUUCUAUGAAGCUGUCUACCCAUGGGUUUCCCCAACAUCCCAUCCCCCAGCCCUCAGGUUUCUCCUCCCCAUCAUCUUCACUUCAGAAAGAGAAAUGAAAAAGAAAUUCAAGUGACUCAUCGGUCCACAUAGGCAGGAGUGGGAGAGGCUGAGAGAGUGAAUUUGUGGGUCCAGAUGAAUAUUUCCGCAGGCCUCUUGACUGCUUCACACGAUCUGCUG